GUGGGAAAGGACCCUCUGAAGGCUCCAAGCCUCUGAGAAGGGAUGACGGAAAGAAAGGGCAAUGUAGCCCCUUCCAGGAAGAUCUGUUCCACGGGUCACUCCUGAAGUUUGAGGUGAGCAGAUCUCAUGGCAAUACAAAGAAAGAGAAACAUAACUUCAUACUCACUUCACUUAUGUAUUUUAUGAUUUGAUUCUGGUAAAAAUGUACAGUAUGUCCCAUGUCUACGGCCUAUGAUAAAAAUAACUUGACCGUUUUGGUCUGUAUUUGGCAGCUUUUAAAAACUGCUGUUAGUUUUCCUUUGGGUUUUUAUGGAGUUUUACUGUUGUAAAAAUAAUUACAAAAAUAAAGGUUUGUUUUGCUCAGUGAAAGGUUAGUUUUCAAAGACAAUCACUUUCCUAAAAAAAGGUUAAUGUUUCUAGCUCAGCUAGUUUCUUAAAAACAAAAACAAAAUCUAGGUUUUAAAAAAGAAUUAUAUUUCUUACAAAUUUAAAUGGGAAAAAACCCUACCUAACAGUUCUUACUUAACUUUGAGGGGACAUACUUCCUAUGAUCCUUUACCCAGCCUCCAACUUCUGACUACUUUAUUUAAGGAUAAUUUUUUUAAAGAAAAGGAAGAGAAAAAGAUUAAUUUGGCCCAGAAAUACUUAGUAAUCAUUUAUUCAGUCAAUGCUCUGCAUUCAAAACCCUAAGAACAUUUGCAUUUGAACUAGUUGGAUUCAUCAUUCCGCGUGGACAGGGAGAACGCACACUUGGGAAUGUGCAGAAUAUCUUAGUACAAGGGUUUGGAGAGCCUGUCACAGGAUUUGGGCUUUGCCCGGAUAAUUUGGGAGUGAAGACUUGCUCUGGACAGAGACCUGGGCCGCUCUGCGGCUGGGUGUCUCCACGGGGCUGCUGCACGGGGAGACAGAGGCAGCCAGGACAAAGCUGUACGGUGAGGAAGCGCAGCAGCAGCUCCCGGGGUAGCGAGACAGGAGGAUGUUUCACACUGUGCGGGGUGCACAGUGACCUUGCUUCAAGUGGAUGUUUUUGUGAGACUGCAGAAGAACAGCCUGGCUUAGUUGUGAGUGGCUCACGGUUACCGUGAGGCUGAGCUGUGAGGACAGUUGUAUCAGUUCCUGGCUGUCAGGCGCUGCUUUAUUAUUUCGUUCUCAAUUAUAAGCCAGACACAGAUGAAAGGCUCAGGGUUUUAAGCAGUCAGAUCCUGUGCCAGUUAUCUAUUGCCUCUCAGCUCCAAGUUCACUUGGUACCCGGUCUCUGAUAAUAGACUUGACUCAGCAUUGCCAGCAGGGGGUGCUGGAGAGACGGGGCAGGAGGAUGGGCUUCGCUCUGAGAUUUGGGUGUGUCCUGUGCAGAGCUGGGCUUGUUCCCGCUCCUCCUGCGAUGUUGGGUCAGUGGUGUGGAUCUGUGCAGACAUCUGGAGUUCACUUCCCCAGCCACAUGCCCAGCGGGAGCCGUCUCAGGGACUGGGCUGGCAGCCACCUCCUAACAGGGAUGCUGCACGCUCAGUUCUCACCUACAGCACCCCUCUCACCAGCCCCCCUGACUCGUGCCUGAGGUUUGUUCCCCACUUGCCCAGUAGCUGAAGGUCAGCUCUGGCCCAGAUGACCCACUGACCUUCUCCACCAUCCAGUGCGCUGCAGCCACAUCGUCUUCAAUGAGUCCUUGCCACCUCAGAGAGAAGUAACAUCUCAGCCUCUGAGCCCACCUAUAACAGCUCCUUUUACACGAAACAGAAGAGACUUCUGACCAUUAUAUUUGGUGCUAAAAAUAGACCCCAUGGACAUACAGCCGUUGGGAGGAGCACAAGUCCCCAUCUGGGGAGACUUAAAAUCCCAGAAGACCUACCUUGUGAGUAGAGAAGGAUCUGCAUCUCUAAGAGGACGCAGGUGAACACCUGCACCAGGUUCUCCAGUCCCAGGAGCUCGAAGGCCUCUCGGAGAGGGUAAUCGGAGAGGGGGAGCUCGUUGGGCCCAGGCCGCUGGCAGAUGACGGGCUCAUAAACGCCGUAGAAUUUCAGUGACCUCCCUGGGGGCGGGAGGGGCACCUCGUAGAGAAUGUUGUGGAUGUAGCUCUCAAGCGGCAAGGGUGGCGGCUGCUGUGAGCUGACUGCCUGGUACAGCUGGGUGAGGAAUUUCUUGCAGGCCUGCAUGAAGGGCAGUGGUGUGAUCAAGCAUAUACUUUUUGAGACGUACAGGGUGUCUCGGUUGAUGUCGUAGGAGUUGUAUCGCUGGAGUUUCAAAAGGGAAGUGGCAUCUCCCUCAUCGAUACUGCUGGCCAGCGAGUCCAUGCUGCAGGAGGACGAGGCACACGCGUUGCUGUAGUGCUCUGCGUGGUGCAUCUGGUAGAGUGUCUGCAUUGCUGUGCAGAUCUGCUUACUUGUUACCUCUUCAUAGAAAGUGAGAACAAAGCCGUACGUGCGAGAACCAUCUUCCCGGGUGAUUAUAAAUGAGUGGAACUGAGGGUCUCUGUUGUCAGUCUGUGUUCUGAAGGAGAGCCCUUUAGGCAUGCACAACUGCGGAGGAAGGAGGAACAGCAUCAAAAUGCAACGAACAGGUUCAAACAACUCAAAGACUGGCAUUAAUUAUAUUUGAAUAACAUUAAACACUCAAGAGCACCAUACAUGGAGCGACAGACUAUUUGAGGCCAUGAUAAAUGGCAACUGAUCAAGAUGAAAGCAAAACCGUGAAGCUCGGCGUUAUUAUGCUGCUGGAAAUGUCUUUACAUUUCACGUCACCGAACAUGAGGUUUGGAAGGAACUAAGAUAUACUGACUGGUAAUGUUGAAAUCUGAUUCCCUAGCAGUCUGUGCUGCGAAUUUCUCAAUGGACAACUGAAAAUGAACUGUUAAUAAGAGAUCUGCAUUUUAAACUUCUGGCUAGACAACUGAUACUAAAAAACCAAGACCUGCUAAAAUAAUCCUUGCUGUGACCUAAUUCUUGUCCUCAAUUCAAUAUGUGGUGAUUUUUAAAAAAUCUGUUCAGAUGAACAUUUAAUUCACUAAAGAAACAUUUUAAGUCAAGCUAAAAUAUUUAUUUUGAUCUUAAAAUUUUGUACAUAAAUAGACCCUAUGGUGCAGUGCUCAAAGGAGACAAUUUUGAGUUGCCGCAAAAAUCUCUGAUAAAUGUGACCUGCCUCUCCAGCUUUUUCCACAUAACAGAAUUAACAGCAUUAGAAAUACCACCAGUGAGAUUUAGUAGUUUAGUAGAGGAAGCACAUUAAAUACACUAACCUACAGGAAAGAAACAAGCUAGUCUAAGCCAAAUUCCAUCCCCUGCCAACAUUCUAGAAAGAUGAAAGUAUACAGUGCUUGGAUUAUUAUAUAUAAGAAAAUUCAGUAAUAGCUGUCAAUUAUCUCUUUGACCAAAUUAAUUCCCACGAGACCUGUCGCCCCCAAAUGUCUUAGUUCCAUAAAAUACUCUAAUAUGGAUGCAUCUGAAAUUCACAAUGUCAGAAAGCUGAGAUUAAGGAAUAUCAGCUUGAAAUAUCAUUCUGUUUCCUGCAUUUUUUUCUUUUUAAAUUCUAAUUAAGGGCAAAACAUGAGCUGUUUUAUCAACAGAUAAAUGCCACUUACCAGUAUUUGUACAAGUAAAAAUAUCAGACAGCAAUUUAUGAGCCACAAUUGGACGUCUAGUUAGGCUCAGUUUCCAUUUUUGGUAAAAAUAUGAAAAAAAAUUUAUGGAUACUAAAACACCUUUUAGUGCAAAACUUAACAGAUCAUAGGAGGAAAGUCACACUUAAAAUCUGACUGGAGACUGUGAUAUGAAGUACAUGAGAGCUUUUCUGAAUAAAGGCACACAAUUUAAGUAGAUGGGCUGCAG